rnacentral:rRNA from 1 species
AACGAACGCUGGCGGCAUGCCUAACACAUGCAAGUCGAACGAGAUCUUCGGGUCUAGUGGCGCACGGGUGCGUAACGCGUGGGAAUCUGCCCUUGGUUCGGAAUAACAGUUGGAAACGACUGCUAAUACCGGAUGAUGACGAAAGUCCAAAGAUCUAUCGCCAGAGGAUGAGCCCGCGUAGGAUUAGCUAGUUGGUGUGGUAAAGGCGCACCAAGGCGACGAUCCUUAGCUGGUCUGAGAGGAUGAUCAGCCACACUGGGACUGAGACACGGCCCAGACUCCUACGGGAGGCAGCAGUGGGGAAUAUUGGACAAUGGGCGAAAGCCUGAUCCAGCAAUGCCGCGUGAGUGAUGAAGGCCUUAGGGUUGUAAAGCUCUUUUACCCGGGAUGAUAAUGACAGUACCGGGAGAAUAAGCUCCGGCUAACUCCGUGCCAGCAGCCGCCGUAAUAC